rnacentral:rRNA from 1 species
UACGAGUGCCUCAAGCGUUAUCCGGAAUUACUGGGCGUAAAGGGUGUGUAGGCUGUUCUGUUAGUCUUCUGUUAAAACUUCCGGCUCAACCGGAAAUAUGCAGAGGAAACGGCAGAACUAGAGGAUGCGAGAGGUGAACAGAACUCAUGGUGUAGGGGUGAAAUCCGUUGAUAUCAUGGGGAAUACCAAAUGCGAAGGCAGUUCACUGGCGCACUCCUGACGCUGAAACACGAAAGCGUGGGUAGCGAACGGG